rnacentral:tRNA from 1 species
GGGGUUAUAGCUCAGUGGUAAAGCACUUGCCUUGCAUGCAUGAGGCACUGGGUUCUAUCCUCAGCACCA